rnacentral:rRNA from 1 species
GAUGAACGCUAGCGGCAGGCCUAACACAUGCAAGUCGAACGGUAACAUGAGCGCUUGCGCUUGAUGACGAGUGGCGCACGGGUGCGUAACGCGUAUGCGACCUACCUCUAACUGGGGGAUAGCCCGGAGAAAUUCGGAUUAAUACCCCAUAGUAUAAUGGAACUGCAUGGUUUUAUUAUUAAAGAUUUAUCGGUUAGAGAUGGGCAUGCGUCCCAUUAGCUAGUUGGUGCGGUAACGGCGCACCAAGGCGACGAUGGGUAGGGGGCCUGAGAGGGUGGUCCCCCACACUGGUACUGAGACACGGACCAGACUCCUACGGGAGGCAGCAGUGAGGAAUAUUGGUCAAUGGACGCAAGUCUGAACCAGCCAUGCCGCGUGCAGGAUGACGGCCCUACGGGUUGUAAACUGCUUUUAUACGGGAAUAAUGUGUCCUACGUGUAGGAUUUUGAAGGUACCGUACGAAUAAGGAUCGGCUAACUCCGUGCCAGCCGCCGCCGUAACAC